rnacentral:tRNA from 2 species
AGAAAGAUAAGCUAAAAAAGCUAUUAGGUUCAUACCCUAAACAUAGAAAUAAUAAUCUUCUUUCUA